rnacentral:rRNA from 1 species
AACGAACGCUGGCGGCAGGCUUAACACAUGCAAGUCGAACGCAUCCUUCGGGAUGAGUGGCAGACGGGUGAGUAACGCGUGGGAACGUGCCCUUCAGUUCGGGAUAACCCAGGGAAACUUGGGCUAAUACCGGAUACGUGCGAGAGCAGAAAGAUUUAUCGCUGAAGGAUCGGCCCGCGUCUGAUUAGCUAGUUGGUGGGGUAAUGGCCCACAAAGGCGACGAUCAGUAGCUGGUCUGAGAGGAUGAUCAGCCACAUUGGGACUGAGACACGGCCCAAACUCCUACGGGAGGCAGCAGUGGGGAAUAUUGGACAAUGGGCGCAAGCCUGAUCCAGCCAUGCCGCGUGAGUGAUGAAGGCCUUAGGGUUGUAAAGCUCCUUCGUCCGGGACGAUAAUGACGGUACCGGAAGAAGAAGCCCCGGCUAACUUCGUGCCAGCCGCCGCCGUAA